rnacentral:rRNA from 1 species
UACGGGGGGGGCAAGCGUUGUUCGGAAUUACUGGGCGUAAAGGGCUCGUAGGCUGCCAACUAAGUCGGACGUGAAAUCCCUCGGCUUAACCGGGGAACUGCGUCCGAUACUGGAUGGCUUGAGUUUGGGAGAGGGAUGCGGAAUUCCAGGUGUAGCGGUGAAAUGCGUAGAUAUCAAGAGGAACACCUGCGGCGAAGGCGGGUUGCUGGGCCGACACUGACGCUGAGGCGCGAAAGCCAGGGGAGCGAACGGG